rnacentral:rRNA from 1 species
GACGAACGCUGGCGGCGUGCUUAACACAUGCAAGUCGAACGAAGUGGCGAACGGGUGAGUAACGCGUAAUCAACCUGCCCUUCAGAGGGGGACAACAGUUGGAAACGACUGCUAAUACCGCAUACUGAAGGAGGGGAUUGCGUCUGAUUAGCUAGUUGGAGGGGUAACGGCCCACCAAGGCGAUGAUCAGUAGCGCGGCGGAGAGGAUGAACGGCCACAAUGGGACUGGGACACGGCCCAGACUCCUACGGGAGGGAGCAGUGGGGAAUCUUCCGCAAUGGACGAAAGUCUGUGUGAGCAACGCCGCGUGAGUGAGGACGGCCUGCGGGUUGUAAAGCUCUGUUAAUCGGGACGCGGUACCGGAAUAGAAAGCCACGGCUAACUACGUGCCAGCAGCCGCGGUAAUAC